AUACGGAGGAUCCAAGCGUUAUGCGGAAUCAUUGGGUUUAAAGGGUCCGUAGGCGGGUUUGUAAGUCAGUGGUGAAAGUUUUCGGCUCAACCGGAAAAUUGCCAUUGAUACUGCAAGUCUUGAAUUACUGUGAAGUGAUUAGAAUGUGUAGUGUAGCGGUGAAAUGCAUAGAUAUUACACAGAAUACCGAUUGCGAAGGCAGAUCACUAACAAUAUAUUGACGCUAAGGGACGAAAGCGUGGGUAGCGAACAGGAUUAGAAACCCCAGUAGUCC
rnacentral:rRNA from 1 species